rnacentral:rRNA from 1 species
UACGUAGGCAGCAAGCGUUGUUCGGAAUUACUGGGCGUAAAGAGUGUGUAGGCGGUGCUCUAAGUUCGGUGUGAAAUCUCCCGGCUUAACUGGGAGGGUGCGCCGGAAACUGGAGUGCUCGAGCGUGGGAGAGGAAAGCGGAAUUCCUGGUGUAGCGGUGAAAUGCGCAGAUAUCAGGAGGAAUACCGGUGGCGAAGGCGGCCUUCUGGACCAUUCUUGACGCUGAGACGCGAAAGCGUGGGUAGCAAACAGG